rnacentral:lncRNA from 1 species
GAGAAAGUAAAUAAACACUGUACUACCCGGAAAGCAUAAAAUCUUGAGCCUGAUCUCUUUAUUUUGAAAUCUCAUUAUCAAAACAGGCAACUUGGUCAUUCAUUUUCUGGUAAUCAAUAUAAUAUAACACUCAAGUUCUAACAUCGUGGAGAUGAUUCCCAUUUAAAAUAAUAUUUAGAAGUCUAGAGGAAAACUCAGACUUAUAAUUAUUUAAUAUUUUAAAUAUAAUUUGAGACGAAAUAUGUGGCAUUUUGUUGCCGUUAUAUAUUCAGGUUUCCUUAAACUUCUCAUUGGAAUGAAAAAAUAGAGACAAAAAUAAAUAGAUGGUCGGUGCAAUAAAGUGGGCGAAAAGAAGUUGAUGGAUAGCAUGACUUAUUGUCCCUUAUCUUUUUCUCUCUACAAAAAGAGAUGGACGGCAUGAUGUUGCCCUCUCUCUUUCUCUCUCUACAAAAAG